ensembl:snoRNA
AUGGUCUGGAGAAAGGCUUCUGUGUUGUUGAACCUUCCCAGUGUGGGUGCACCUUGUACCAGGCAGCCCCACCCUGACCUAGAGCAAAUUCCCCAGGGGAAAAUUCUCCCAGGGAUUUGAAUUUUCAGUAACUUGUAUGAGCAUUCUAGGAGUAGUUUGAUGAUCAUGUACGAUACUGCAAACAGAA